CCUACGGGAGACAGCAGUGGGGAAUAUUGCACAAUGGGGGGAACCCUGAUGCAGCAACGCCGCGUGGGUGAAGAAGUACUUCGGUAUGUAAAGCCCUGUCAGCAGGGAAGAAAAUGACGGUACCUGACCAAGAAGCCCCGGCUAACUACGUGCCAGCAGCCGAGGUAAUACGGAGGGGGCAAGCGUUAUCCGGAUUUACUGGGUGUAAAGGGAGCGUAGACGGCAAGGCAAGUCUGGAGUGAAAGCCCGUGGCUCAACCACGGGACUGCUUUGGAAACUGGGUUGCUGGAGUGCAGGAGGGGUAAGCGGAAUGCCUGGUGUAGCGGUGAAAUGCGUAGAUAUUAGGAGGAACACCGGUGGCGAAGGCGGCUUACUGGGCUGUAACUGACGUUGAGGCUCGAAGGCGUGGGGAGCAAACAGGAUUAGAUACCCUUGUAGUC
rnacentral:rRNA from 1 species